rnacentral:misc_RNA from 1 species
UACGGAGGGUGCAAGCGUUAUCCGGAUUUACUGGGUUUAAAGGGUGCGUAGGUGGAUCGGUAAGUCAGAGGUGAAAGCCCCAAGCUUAACUUGGGAAUUGCCUUUGAAACUGUCGAUCUUGAGUAUAGUUGAGGCUGGCGGAAUGAGCGGUGUAGCGGUGAAAUGCAUAGAUAUCGCUCAGAACACCGAUUGCGAAGGCAGCUAGCUAAACUAUUACUGACACUGAGGCACGAAAGCGUGGGUAGCAAACAGG